UACGUAGGGGGCUAGCGUUGUCCGGAAUCAUUGGGCGUAAAGCGCGUGUAGGCGGCCCGGUAAGUCCGCUGUGAAAGUCCAGGGCUCAACCCUGGGAUGCCGGUGGAUACUGUCGGGCUCGAGUCCGGAAGAGGCGAGUGGAAUUCCUGGUGUAGCGGUGAAAUGCGCAGAUAUCAGGAAGAACACCCGUGGCUAAGGCGGUUCUCUAGUACGGUACUGACGCUGAGACGCGAAAGCGUGGGGAGCGAACAGG
rnacentral:rRNA from 1 species